AGGGAAUCUUCCGCAAUGGGCGAAAGCCUGACGGAGCAACGCCGCGUGGGUGAAGAAGGUCUUCGGAUCGUAAAACUCUAUUAUUAGGGAAGAACAAAUGUGUAAGUAACUAUGCACGUCUUGACGGUACCUAAUCAGAAAGCCACGGCUAACUACGUGCCAGCAGCCGCGGUAAUACGUAGGUGGCAAGCGUUAUCCGGAAUUAUUGGGCGUAAAGCGCGCGUAGGCGGUUUUUUAAGUCUGAUGUGAAAGCCCACGGCUCAACCGUGGAGGGUCAUUGGAAACUGGAAAACUUGAGUGCAGAAGAGGAAAGUGGAAUUCCAUGUGUAGCGGUGAAAUGCGCAGAGAUAUGGAGGAACACCAGUGGCGAAGGCGACUUUCUGGUCUGUAACUGACGCUGAUGUGCGAAAGCGUGGGGAUCAAACAGGAUUAGAUACCCUGGUAGUCCACGCCGUAAACGAUGAGUGCUAAGUGUUAGGGGGUUUCCGCCCCUUAGUGCUGCAGCUAACGCAUUAAGCACUCCGCCUGGGGAGUACGACCGCAAGGUUG
rnacentral:rRNA from 1 species